GACGAACGCUGGCGGCGUGCUUAACACAUGCAAGUCGAACGGAAAGGCUCCAGCUUGCUGGAGUACUCGAGUGGCGAACGGGUGAGUAACACGUGGGUAAUCUGCCCUGCACUCUGGGAUAAGCCUGGGAAACUGGGUCUAAUACUGGAUAUGACCUUUCUCCUUAUGGGGUUUGGUGGAAAGUUUUUCGGUGUAGGAUGAGCCCGCGGCCUAUCAGCUUGUUGGUGGGGUGAUGGCCUACCAAGGCGACGACGGGUAGCCGGCCUGAGAGGGUGAUCGGCCACAUUGGGACUGAGAUACGGCCCAGACUCCUACGGGAGGCAGCAGUGGGGAAUAUUGCACAAUGGGCGGAAGCCUGAUGCAGCGACGCCGCGUGAGGGAUGACGGCCUUCGGGUUGUAAACCUCUUUCAGCAGGGACGAUGCGUAAGUGACGGUACCUGCAGAAGAAGCACCGGCUAACUAUGUG
rnacentral:rRNA from 1 species